rnacentral:rRNA from 1 species
CGGGUGAGUAAUGCGUGACCAACCUGCCCCAUGCUCCAGAAUAGCUCUUGGAAACGGGUGGUAAUGCUGGAUGCUCCAACUUGACGCAUGUCUUGUUGGGAAAGUGUUUAGUGGCAUGGGAUGGGGUCGCGUCCUAUCAGCUUGUAGGCGGGGUAAUGGCCCACCUAGGCUUCGACGGGUAGCCGGCCUGAGAGGGCGGACGGCCACAUUGGGACUGAGAUACGGCCCAGACUCCUACGGGAGGCAGCAG